UCAAAAAAAAAGGUGAAGGUAGCGGAAGACCCACCGUCCCACCGCAAACCCUACCAGACUGUCCGGCGGCGGCUCCGACAGCAACAUGGCGCUGCGCUCUCUGUCGAGAGGGUUCCCGGCCGGUGUUCUCCGGCAGGCAUCGCCGGCGGCCGGCUUCCGCCUCAUGGGCACCCGCUGCCAGUCGAAAGAAACGCAAGAAGUGUUGGCCAGUCUGCAGAGCGCGAUGAAAGAGACACCCUCCGAACGCCACCUGCUGCUACACCAACAAUUCACAAACGAGCCGUGAUCUGGAGAGGAUGUUGAAGUCUGCCAACAACAUGUUGAAGGCUUCAAAUGCAUUGCUUGGUGUUACAAUCCUCGGGGUUCCGUUGCUUCUCAUUGCGGGAAGCAAGGAUCAGGCUUGAGAACCUCUUACCGUCGCUUCCUGGUACUUUGGAGCGAGAACCAACUCAGUAUCCAUGUGACAUCACCGGUCUAGUUUUGAAUUGAAGUCGCAAUGUUACUUUAUAAAAAUUUGAGCAGUGCGUCCAACUUAUGUCUUUAUAUCUUUGCCGGGCCUGGUCUUAUCUCAA